GUAAUCUGAAGCCAACCGAGACUACCCGCUGAACUUAA
rnacentral:rRNA from 1 species